CAAGGAAUUUUCCGCAAUGGGCGCAAGCCUGACGGAGCGACGCCGCGUGGAGGAAGACACUUUUCGGAGCGUAAACUCCUUUUCUGGGGGAUGAAGGCAGUGACAGUACCCCAGGAAGAAGGACCGGCUAACUACGUGCCAGCAGCCGCGGUAAGACGUAGGGUCCGAGCGUUGUCCGGAGUUACUGGGCGUAAAGGGCGCGUAGGCGGUUCCAUGCGUCCCACGUGAAAGCCCCUGGCUCAACCAGGGAGGGUCGUGGGAAACGGGGAAGCUGGAGGCAGCGAGAGGCUGGUGGAAUUCCCGGAGUAGUGGUGAAAUGCGUAGAGAUCGGGAGGAACACCGGUGGCGAAGGCGGCCAGCUGGCGCUGACCUGACGCUGAGGCGCGAAGGCGUGGGGAGCGAACG
rnacentral:rRNA from 1 species